GCCAAACAUGAACUUGUCUGAAAUGAAUUAGUGAUGGGGAGCAAUGAGACGAUUCUAAACGUGACAGACAAAUCACAGAGAAAUUGAUCAUAUGUUAUGUCAUUCUACAGAAUUUAAAUAUUUUAUCAUCUUAUUGUAACAUGGCCAACAAUUUUUGUUGUAUUAUUAUGUCUCUCCUAAAGGCCUGCGAAAGCGACAUCAAACGUACUUACACAAAAUAUCAAUACUGUCAAUCAGUCUUAAGGCGUGGCGUUCUCGAGGUAGCCCUUUUUAAUAUGUAUUCAUUUGUACUUCCCGGUGAUAAUACUUUAAAAUGACACAUUUCACAUAGAGUAUUCUGCAGUCUCUUGCAGUGGGUGUCGGUGCUGUGCAGUAGGUGGGGUUACACAACAAGAGCGCAGUGACAACAGGGAAACCUCAGGAAUAGAAAACACCUCUCUACACUCGUGAUCGUCGUGCUCGGUGCCCACACGCGGAAUAUUUCACACUGAGCCUCCCCCCGAUCCUCGCGCUGCUCGCUGGGGGGGAGGAGACCCCUCCGCUCCCUCUCUCUGUCCCCCUGGAGGGUCCCCGAGCCGGAGUUUUGGGAUCAACCAGUAGGUCAUAUGAGGGGAAAAGGAGCGUUUCGUGGUUAGGGCUAAAGAAGAGGAGGAGGAGGGAGGGCGAGGGGAAGGAAGAGGGAGGGAGGGAGGAGAGCGGAGGGAGCAGGUCUGCUUGGGCGGGGUUUCCCUCGUAUUUCAAGUCCGCACAGAAGAGGAGCGGAGCGGGGGAGAGGACGGACCAGCUCCGGCAGCAUGGGAAUGUCGCUGUGGUCGCUGCUUUUUUUUUUUCUUUCUUUCUUUCUUUUUUUUCUUCUUCUUCUUUUAUUUUUUUCCCCUCUGUUCUGGCUUCACGACAUUUUCUCGCCUAUUUUUUUCCUCAAACGUCGUCGCUCUUCUAAUCGCGUUGUGACCAGGCACUGGCUGAGGUAGUAGUUUGUGCUGUUGGUUGGGUUGUGACACUGCCCGCUAUGGAGAUGACUGCGCAAGCUACUGCCUUGCUAGUGCUGGUGCCUCCACUUCAGUCGAGGAAGAAGGAAGGAAAGAAGAGAACAGAAGAGAAAAAAAAAGGGAAAGAAAAGAAAAAGCACAGACUGCUUUCAACGCUCUUAUACUGUUAUAACAGGAUGGAGGAGAAAAGCUCGCUUGUGUUGGAUGGAAAUCCGAUAUGCAAGUUUUUGGGGUUUUUUUAAAUAUAAUUUGUAUGCACAUUUUAAUGUGCACGAGGAAGUCGAUAUCUGGUAUGGAUUUGCAUAGUUUUCCACCACCUCAGGCGGAGUGGGCUGUGUAGAAAGCAUGUAGGUCAACAGUGCUGUUGCUAUGAGGAGAGGAGUGACGUGGCUCCUGCUGCCCACAGAGGUAUCCUACAAUACAUCUGCUCGGAUACGCACAAGCUGGCUUUAUGGCUCUCCCCGACGUCCUUUGUUGAUAAUGCUGCAUACCCUCAGACACUGGGGCAGAUAGCGUGUGCUCCUCCUGCACCUAAACACCCUCUCUACACGCGGGGCAGACGCAAAUCUGUGCAGCGCCUCCGGCACUGUGCACCUAAUAAUCUGAUUAUUAUGCUAAAUCUGGAUGGUGUGUGUGCCUCAGCGCUUGAACUCUAUGGUAUGCACAGACAGACACGCCACAUGACCCAACCCCCCCACGGGCGUUGGAGCAGUGGUGUCCUCACAGAGGUCUGGGAGUGCAGUGCUGAUGUGGGUCAUGCAUUAUGAGUUAACCUUUGAAAUCCUCCCUCUGCUGCCCAGCAGCAUCUGGUUGCUCUGUAUCACAUUAGUAUGGGCAGGCAGGGGUCUCGUGAUGGGGGUGGGGACCGGAAUGGGUAAUGAGCUUUGAUUGGCUGCAGGGGCCGGGCAGCUUGGGUCGAUGAAACCGUGCGGGGACUGCAGUCUUGUGUUCAGACCCCCACACAGCCCAGAUGAUAGCACUCCGCUCACUCGAGCCGACUGAAGAUUGAAUCCUGCGUUUGACCUUCCAAGAAGACACCCAUGAAAUAUUUAUGAGUUCACACUUGAUAGUGUGUCGGGCAGAGUUAUGUUCAUCUUGGGCCGCAGCUCUGCCCACUAGCAUCUGUGCCGAUAUUAAACGAUAAAUUCUGUUCCAGCCGCUCACCGUAGGGAUGCACGUAGGCUGAGGAGGAGAGCAGAGGAUGCUGACUAGUGAAGAAACCACACAGGAUACUUGUAGUUAUCGUGAAGCCUGUUGAGCAAGCCGUCCUACAGGUCAGCCUCACAGAAAUAUUCAAAUGAGUGUCUUGUCUCAUGCAAGAAAUACAAGUAAUCCAGCCCCCGGGGUAAAAACCAAACAUCAUUUAUCAUAUCCUGGCUGUAGAGAGAGCCAGCUUAUGGACCAGUGAGCAGCGUGUCCUCCUCAUCCAUCUUGUGUCAGAGCUCCCAUUUGAGCCGGGGCCGCAGAUAAAUCAUACUUCAGGCAGCCGAAGCCCCCUAAAGCAGUAAAUUAGAGCUCCCUGUGAAAAAAAAAGCUGCCCGCUCAGAUGGGUAUCACAGCUGCACCGCCGAAGCAGCCGCACCCUCGUCCUGACAGCACGGCCGACCCUCACGUGUUCACCAAAUACCUUCACCCGCGUAAUGUGACAUGUUUGGAACUGGAGCCAAAAAUGAUUAGGAGCUGGUGGUCAGGAAAGUAUUCUCCCAAUAAUAGUCAUUUAAAAAGAAGCAACAUGCCAAACAUAGCUGGUCUGAGCGUCUGUAAUUUGAUUUCUGGUUUCUUUGAAAGAGCUCCCACCAGUUCUGCCAAAUAUUUGAUUAAAAAUGUAACCUUGAGAAAUCGGUGAAAAAUGCCAACCACGCUAUCCUCAGGAGAGACGAUUCAGUCCUUACAAGUCUUCUUUCGUCUGACUGACAGUUAAAAACCCAGAAAAGCCCAAGUAACUUUAAUAUAAACCAAAAAAAGGCAACAGAUUCUCACUCUUAAGAAGCUUCAAAUGACUUAAGCGAUGGAUUGGCCAAAAUCAGCAGCCAAUUCAUUUGCGUUUAAUCAAUUGUUGCAUCUCUAAUUGUAAAUGUGAUUUUCUUUGGGUUUUGAAAUGUUGGACAAAACAAGACGUAUGAAGACCUCGGCUUGGGCUCUGAGAGUCGUGAUGAACAUUUUUCACAAGUAUUUGACAAUUUGUUGAACUGAAACAAACUCUUUGAAAACAUUUGGCAACUAUUUUGGUAAUAGAUUCUAGGGUGUGACGAUAUAUCUGUUGGUCGAUAUUGGCAAAUGUGACACAAAUGUGCCAAUAUGACCAGACAUGAAAAGAUGUGUGCGCUCAUUUGUAUUUAUUACAUUCCCAUUGAAGUCUGUAGAUUCAGUGCACUGAUGUCAGUUUGGACAAUAAAGUUUAUUACUGAAUUAUAAAA